rnacentral:rRNA from 1 species
UACGGGGGGGGCAAGCGUUGUUCGGAAUUACUGGGCGUAAAGGGCUCGUAGGCGGCCAUCUAAGUCGGACGUGAAAUCCCUCGGCUUAACCGGGGAACUGCGUCUGAUACUGGAUGGCUUGAGUUCGGGAGAGGGAUGCGGAAUUCCAGGUGUAGCGGUGAAAUGCGUAGAUAUCAAGAGGAACACCGGUGGCGAAGGCGGAUCCCUGGAAGGUUCCUGACUCUGAAACACGAAAGCUAGGGGAGCAAACGGG